AAUUACAGGCGUUUUUUCACUGCCACCAGCUGACCUAUGUUUCAAUUGGAGGAGUAGGGACCAGAAGAAAACUGUGACUGUGCAAAGUUUGUCUUGUCUCAUCUGAGGCAGGGACCACCAGAAGACACCUGUUAGCUGCAGAAUGAACUAAGCCCUCCCUGGGGACAGGAGUGCUGAUCUCUGCCUGGUCCUGGGCCCAGUCAGUGUCUCUUCUCACACCUGUACUCCCAGGGAAACAGGUAAGAGGCCUCAGCUUUGCCUCCCCUUCACACUGGGCUGAGAUGGCCCAGGGCCCUCCUCUGACUGUUCAGACCCUUAUUUAG
rnacentral:lncRNA from 1 species